UACGGAGGGAGCUAGCGUUGUUCGGAAUUACUGGGCGUAAAGCGCACGUAGGCGGCUUUGUAAGUUAGAGGUGAAAGCCUGGAGCUCAACUCCAGAAUUGCCUUUAAGACUGCAUCGCUUUGAAUCCAGGAGAGGUGAGUGGAAUUCCGAGUGUAGAGGUGAAAUUCGUAGAUAUUCGGAAGAACACCAGUGGCGAAGGCGGCUCACUGGACUGGUAUUGACGCUGAGGUGGCGAAAGCGUGGGGAGCAAACAGG
rnacentral:rRNA from 1 species